rnacentral:rRNA from 1 species
UACGAAGGGGGCUAGCGUUGCUCGGAAUCACUGGGCGUAAAGCGCACGUAGGCGGCUUUCUAAGUCAGGGGUGAAAAUCCUGGAGCUCAACUCCAGAACUGCCUUUGAUACUGGGGAGCUCGAGUCCGGAAGAGGUGAGUGGAACUCCGAGUGUAGAGGUGAAAUUCGUAGAUAUUCGGAAGAACACCAGUGGCGAAGGCGGCUCACUGGUCCGGUACUGACGCUGAGGUGCGAAAGCGUGGGGAGCAAACAGG